AUGAAAAAUGUCGAUUCCCUUCCUCCCUCUUCCUCUUUGUCGCUGAGACCUCACCGCCGCCCCUCCCUCUCCCAACUUCUCUUCAUCACCGACGACCCAUCCUUCCCCUCUCCCUCUCGCGAGCUCCCGUGCCACAGUCGCCUCUCCCUUCUUCUCUCUCGGUUCCGACCGACCCCUUUCGUCCCCAAGCUCUCUUCCUCGCACGCGAACACACAGCAGCCGACGACCUCCUUUCUCGAGCCAUCACAGCCAGCGAUCUUGUCCUCACGCGAGCACCACAGCCGCCUCAACACCCGAUUGCGCUGGUGUUGCUCAUCCCGAUGACAGCCGAACCCUAGGUUGGCCCCAGCCAGUUGCUUCCACCUCCGCUGUGCCACACAAGUUUGGGUCGACUCCAGAUCAGCCCAAACAGAGCCCUGCCGCCAACACAUCUGUGCCCUAAUUGAUCCAGCAGGUAAUAGGUAGAUGAGUCAUGGAUGCUUGGAGAGAUGCCGACUGCCAGUCCUGAGUCCUACGUCACACUCGAGGAUUGAUUUUGGUUUUGUUUCUCCUUACUUGCAUUUUGUAUUCGAUGAAUUUGGUAUUGUGAGAAUUAUGUUUUGAUACUUGUUUGUGGACUUGGUAUUUGUACUGUUUUGGUAACUUUGUAAUUUGUGGGUUUUCUCUUUUUCUUUC